rnacentral:rRNA from 1 species
ACUCCUACGGGAGGCAGCAGUGGGGAAUAUUGGACAAUGGGCGAAAGCCUGAUCCAGCCAUGCCGCGUGUGUGAAGAAGGCCUGAGGGUUGUAAAGCACUUUAGUUGGGGAGGAGAGGCUUAAGUCGAAUAGGCUUAAGAGUAGACGUUACCCAAAGAAUAAGCACCGGCUAACUCUGUGCCAGCAGCCGCGGUAAU